rnacentral:rRNA from 1 species
GACGAACGCUGGCGGCGUGCCUAACACAUGCAAGUUGAGCGACGAACCAGGGCUUGCCCUGGGGCAAAGCAGCGAACGGGUGAGUAACACGUGGGUAACCUACCCCGAUAACCGGGACAACCCGAGGAAACUCGGGCUAAUACCGGAUGUGCUCACUGGACUUCGGUUCAGUGCGUAAAGGAAGCUUCGGCCUCCGUAUCGGGAGGGGCCCGCGGCCCAUUAGUUUGUUGGUGAGGUAACGGCUCACCAAGACCGCGAUGGGUAGCUGGUCUGAGAGGACGAGCAGCCACACUGGGACUGAGACACGGCCCAGACUCCUGCGGGAGGCAGCAGUGGGGAAUCUUGCGCAAUGCGCGAAAGCGUGACGCAGCAACGCCGCGUGGGGGAAGAAGGCCUUCGGGUUGUAAACCCCUUUCAGGAGGGACGAAGGUUCGGCGGUGAAUAGCCGUCCGGACUGACGGUACCUCCACAAGAAGCCCCGGCUAACUACGUG